rnacentral:rRNA from 1 species
UACGGGGGGGGCAAGCGUUGUUCGGAAUUACUGGGCGUAAAGGGCUCGUAGGUUGCCAACUAAGUCAGACGUGAAAUCCCUCGGCUUAACCGGGGAACUGCGUCUGAUACUGGAUGGCUUGAGUUCGGGAGAGGGAUGCAGAAUUCCAGGUGUAGCGGUGAAAUGCGUAGAUAUCUGGAGGAAUACCGGUGGCGAAGGCGGCAUCCUGGACCGGCAUUGACGCUGAUGAGCGAAAGCUAGGGGAGCAAACGGG